GUGGGGAAUCUUCCACAAUGGACGAAAGUCUGAUGGAGCAACGCCGCGUGAGUGAAGAAGGGUUUCGGCUCGUAAAGCUCUGUUGUCGGGGACGAAUGUGCAGUAUUUGAAUAAAGUACUGUAAUGACGGUACCUGACGAGGAAGCCACGGCUAACUACGUGCCAGCAGCCGCGGUAAUACGUAGGUGGCAAGCGUUGUCCGGAAUUAUUGGGCGUAAAGGGAGCGCAGGCGGGAAGGUAAGUCGGUCUUAAAAGUGCGGGGCUCAACCCCGUGAUGGGAUCGAAACUAUCUUUCUUGAGUGCAGGAGAGGAAAGUGGAAUUCCUAGUGUAGCGGUGAAAUGCGUAGAUAUUAGGAGGAACACCAGUGGCGAAGGCGACUUUCUGGACUGUAACUGACGCUGAGGCUCGAAAGCCAGGGGAGCGAACGGGAUUAGAUACCCGGGUAGUCC
rnacentral:rRNA from 1 species